GCAACUUGACUCAUCAUCACAAGCUUCAGAUUCAAGUUUAAGAUAGGAAUGAGAAGACCUAUUAAAACAGCUGCAGGGACAGAGUCAGAGCAAGAAAUACUACUGAUCCACCAAUCAGAGGCAGUUCAACAAGGAAGAACAGCCUGAUAGAAGAGGCAGGAAAAGACAGGAUCAGCAAGACAGGGGCCAGUGAAGAUAUUAACCCCACCUACAAUUUCUCCCAGCUAUCCAGACCAGCCAGAGGUGGACAGAGUGGAAAACAUGUACCUGUUCAUCAAGGAUAAGAAUCUGGGACACCAAGAUGUCUUUACUUAUAAAGGAUUUUGACUUUGAUUUGAAACCUCACCAAGAAUGAAGAAAUUGAAGGACGAGAGGAGUUGAAGGAAGAUGGAAACAGCAGGCUGAGUGAACCUUCUGAUUUAAAAAGAUUUUACGAUGAGGACAAGCGGCCCUAGAUGUCCACCUCAUCUGCUGCAGCAGCAGCAUCAUCAGAGACCGUUUGCUGUCCUGAAGAUCAUCAGGACAAGUGGGAUUCAAACUCAUUUCCAGGGGAGAUUGGGACCUGAAUACAGCCUUCAAAGGUUUAAAAAAUGUGUAAUUAAUGAGAAAGAAAGAAAGACACAAAGUUUAUGCAUUAUUUGAUAAAAGUGCUUGCUAAAUGUUUAUGACCUGGUUUGACACUGAAAAUGAUGAUAUAGGAAUUCCUCAAAGAGCUCCUGAGUUGAGUAAGUGGUGUCAAAAUGUACCAACCUCAUUGCCUACAUCAGUAAACCAGACGGAAAUGAUUUUAUUCUGUUAAGUGGCUGCGUUCUUGAACACACUGUGUUUUUUUUACAGCACUAAUAUCAUCUCAGCUGGAUAUUUUCUCAAAACUGAAUGGAAAAUAAAAGAAUUAUUUGCAAGACUAAAACUACAUUAAACAGCGUUUUUAAAUAAAAGUAAAAUAGUGACAAACUGGCAACUUGUUU